GACGAACGCUGGCGGCGUGCCUAAUACAUGCAAGUCGAACGCUGAAGAGAGGAGCUUGCUCUUCUUGGAUGAGUUGCGAACGGGUGAGUAACGCGUAGGUAACCUGCCUUGUAGCGGGGGAUAACUAUUGGAAACGAUAGCUAAUACCGCAUAACAAUGGAUGACCCAUGUCAUUUAUUUGCAAGGGGCAAAUGCUCCACUACAAGAUGGACCUGCGUUGUAUUAGCUAGUAGGUGAGGUAACGGCUCACCUAGGCGACGAUACAUAGCCGACCUGAGAGGGUGAACGGCCACACUGGGACUGGGACACGGCCCAGACUCCUACGGGAGGCAGCAGGAGGGAAUCUUCGGAAAAGGGGGCAACCCUGACCGAGCAACGCCGCGGGAGGGAAGAAGGGUUUCGGAUCGGAAAGCUCUGUUGUAAGUCAAGAACGAGUGUGAGAGUGGAAAGUUCACACUGUGACGGUAGCUUACCAGAAAGGGACGGCUAACUACGUG
rnacentral:rRNA from 1 species